UGCUGCCUGAGAGCAUUGCUUAAAGAAGUAUAUGUUAUCAUCUCUUAACCUGCUCAGACACCUUGGAACUUAUUCUAUGUCUCAUUUUCACGUACUUGCACUAGAUGUUUUCUUCCAUCCCAAUAUGAAAAAUAGAGAAAGGAAGAAAUAACUGCCCACAAAUGAAGUGCAAAGGUUUAUAUUCACUGCUCUAAUAUGGCUACAAAUAUCUGUGUCUUUUCUAUGGCUCCAAACAGCUCUAAAUUUAAGCUUUUGGUAACUAUAAGCUCUCCCUCUGGGAUGCAUUCCUUAUGUGGAGCAUGGAGAGGCAGAAGAGGCGAUUCAAGCCAUUGCUAAGCUUCCCCUUGGCUGAAGGCAAUCCACCAGCUGCCCCACCAGCACUACAGGGCUGGCAGUGCCUCCUGCCUGCAGGCUACAGAGAUGCCAACACUGUAAUGUUGAAGGCAUUGGAAAAAAACAGAUGUGCCCCAUAUGGCAGGAGACGCUGGGAUUCCUCAGCAGUGGCAUUGCAGUUCUUGAAAACUUCAAGAUACAUUGAACCCUGAGAAAAAAUGAUAGAUAAGGAAAUACAGAAAAUUCCUUUCACUC